UCAGGAUCAUUCACUGCUUGCAGGUUCUUUUCAUAAAAAGAAGCUGGCAAAAAGGCCAGGAUACAUGAGACCAAAAGCUCCACAACGGAUAGAGUUUCAGCCUUCUGCUGACUACAAGUCAUUCAACCCAAAGGGACUUGAACAUGGCGGAAAGCAUUGUGAAGACUUUAAGAACUGCUCUCUGCACAAAUUAUGGAAAAAUGAAUUCUUACACUGUAAUUCAUCUGUAAACAGUGCUAUAGUUACCAAUGAUGUGGUAACAACGUUGACUACUGCUGGAAAUACAACAGGAGACCUCAGAAAUCUGUCAGAUCACAGGUUUCAGCAGCCAGAAAAUGUAAUUCUUCCAGUUUGUCCUGCAGCUGUCACAUGUAAAAGAGACUUCUCACCUGCGUUCAGUUCACAUACAUGGCAGACACAUCUACUAGCAACUACAGGGGAGACAACCCACUGUGCUAGAAUAAAGGAGCCAAAGAAAAUGUACACUUUGGAUCAUAAGGAAGUGAACAAUAACUGUGAAUAUAAAAACAAAGAAAUCACAUCUUACUCUUCCAGUUCUUGGGAUAGCUUUAAUUCAAGUUUCAGCUUCAUACAACUCUCACUGAAUUCAAGUUUUGAAAAAAGUGACUCGGAAGACCAGUCAGAUGGCAGGGCAGUGGAAAAUACUCUGCAAACCAGUGCAACAGGACAAACAGAAAAUGUUAAUUUAGAUGAACCAAGGGAGAGACUAAGAAGUUCACAUAAAGACUUAGGGGCUUCAUCUUGCAUUUGUAGGGAUGGUGAGGAUUAUCAGUGUACACGAGAGAACGAAGUGAAUGAUAAAUGGCAGGAUUGUGAGAUUGCAUCUCUUUCAGACACAGAUGUAGCAUUUUCAUGUUACACGGAUUCCUCAGAUGCAGCAUCUGCUGGUUCAUCUGUUACCUCAGGCUAUGAAAGUAGCUUUACUUUUAGUGAUUACAACUGGGACACCCUGAUGAGGAAAUAUGAACCGGUGCUAUUGGACUGCUUGGUUGGCAACCGUAGUAUAUUAAAGAUAAAAUCCUUCAUGUUAAGGCUUCAGAGGCUUCAAGAAAAAGCAGUACAGGAAGAUGACUACGAUAAGGCUGAUAAACUGAGAAGGAAACUAGAAGAGCUGGAGCAAGAGAAGAAUAAUUUAAAAUUUCAGCUUCCUUCAAGGCAUCCGUCAAUUACAAGCUUUUUGGACAGAUUCAGUGCACAAGUUCAAGCAGCAUUGUACUGGGCUGCAGAUCAGGCUGGAAGUAAAGAAGCACAGCUCUGGCAAAAAAAUGAACAGAAGCUUUUGACUCCUGCUUACCAAAAGAGGAUACAGAUUUCAACCACAAAAAGAGACCAGCUGCUUCAAGAAAAACAAUUGUUGCAGAAAGAAAUUGAAGACCUCAGGGCAAGGCUGGCUGUGCUAGAAGAAAAAGAUCAACAAUUAAAAAGAGAUAUUGAGGCGCAAGAUAGGCUUAUUCUGUUGCAGGACUGUGAAUUGAGUGCCUUGCUUAGCUGUGUAUCUUUAAGAGAGUUACAGGAAAUAAGCAAGGCCUUGGAUGACACAUUAGCAGCAUCGUAUCAAAUACCAUUUAGUUUGGAUCUCCCUGGAACCCUCAAGAGCCUUCAGGAAAAAGAACGGUCGCUCAGCAUGUCCAUUAAAGAAACAACUGCCAAAGUUUGUACAAGUCAGAAACUGUGCAGUACUUUGAGGAGGAAAGUGAAUGAUAUUGAGACCCAACUACCAGCUUUACUUGAAGCCAAAAUGCUUGCUGUAUCAGGAAGUAAUUUCUGUACUGCUAAGGAUCUUGCAGAGGAAAUCAGAUCAUUAACAUCUGAGAGAGAAGGCUUAGAGGGACUUCUCAAUGAGCUGUUGGUGCUGAGUGCCAGAAAUGUCCGAAAAUUAGAGAGAAUUAAAGAAGAUUACAACAGACUGAAACAAGAACUGGAGCAGGGGGAGUCUGCCUUUGAGACAAACGUGAAGGAAAAUGCUAUGAAAUUCAUGGAGAUGCUGGAGAAUAAGCUGCAUAGUGCCACCGAACAGAAAGAGUAGUUACAUAAUCUUUACUUUCACAUAAACUCCAAGAAGUCAGUUAUGGCCUCAGAAUGUCAGUUUGUUAUUCUUUUAUGGAUUCAGCAUUUGUAAAAUGAAGAUAAUAUAUGCCUGUGUGUCAUGAGGCUACUGAGAAGUUUAAAUACCUGAUACUGCAAAACCUUCCAUGUAUGAAAUUCUUAUUGACAUCAAGUGAAGUGCUGUACAUGGAGAGCUUUCAGGAUAAUAUUCAUAAAGCACUUUAAGAUCUCUGAUUGAAAGAAGAUGUAGAAGUACUAAUUAUUAUUAAGAAAUUCUAAACCUAAAUCUUUCAACUCAUUCUUCAGCUACAAAAAAAGGGACAGUAUAAUAUCACUGAAAAAGUGAGAUUGGGGAAAGUUGACAAGAAAAUUAAGAAAAGGCUGAGGGAGAGU